rnacentral:tRNA from 1 species
AUUUAGGUAGCUUAAUUUUAAAGCUUUAUAUUGAAGAUAUAAUUAUAGAAUAAUUGUUCUCCUAAAUA